ACCUAUUGCUCUUCCUCUUCCUUAGUCUGCUUCAUUUGCCUUGGUCUUCUUGCUCUUCUUUCAACAAACCAAAGCAAAUUCUUGCCUAAGAGCCUCUGUCCUGCACAACAACCUCUCCCUUAGUUAUGUGAAUGACUGGCUCACUCUGCUGAAAUUUUCACUCUGAGGGAGCUCUUCCAUCCGUAACUUUGUUUAAAUAAUCAAUUCCAGGCUCUUCACCCUUUUCUAUGCUUUAUUUUUAUCCAUCACACUUAUUCCCCAGCAUUUUACUAGGUAUUUCUUUAUGAUUUCUCUUCCAAUAGGAUAUGAGUCUUUAGGUGGUGAGGAAUUUCUUCUCUCUCACUUCCUGUUUUUCCUGUUAAAUAGAUGACAAUCUUGACAAUUUCAGUGUAACCUGGCAGCUUUUUGGCAUCUCCCUGGGGUGUUUGCUGAGAACUCAGUGCACCCUGACCUUCAGAUCCCUCUGAGUUGGUAAGCAAUCUUCCCUAGCAUUUAUUUAUGCUCAAGGAGGAGAACAAUGAGAAGCAAUUGAGACCCAAGAGAGCCUGUCGUGUGCAAAUGCAGAAGAACCAAGAAAGCUGUAAAAUUGCCUCCCCUCCCAGCCAGCCCUGUUCGGGAGAAUGGAACCUUCCAUUAACCCUGUUUAAGGGACUGACUUUCCACCUCUGGGAGAGGAUGAAUUCACGUGCACCGAAUGUCUCAAAGGCAGGCGUCUGUGAGCCUGCGCUAGUUAAGGAAAGGAUGAUUUCAAGGCAGCUGGGGGUGACAACAGUGUGAUGAUGUCAAUUCAAAUUGUAAGAUUUUUUAAUUGAAGUCACUCAGCCGUGUCCAACUCUUUGUGACCCCAUGGACUAUAGCCAGGUUUUUUCGUCCAUGGGAUUCUCCAGGCAAGAAUACGGGAGUGGUUUGCCAUUUCCUUCUCCAGGGGAUCUUCCCAACCCUAGGGAUCGAACCUGGGUCUCCGGCAUUGCAGGCAGACUCUUUAUCGUCUGAACCACCUGAGAAGCUUCAGAACCAUAGGCCAAAAUACUGGAGUGUGUAGCCUUUCCCUUCUCCAGGAGAUCUUCCCUACCCAGGGAUCGAACCCAAGUCUCCAGCAUUGAAGGGCGAUUCUUCACCGACUGAGCCACAAGCAAUCUCAAUACAAAGAAAUAAUCCAAAUCAAGGUCUUCGCACAAGGACUUGGAAUGUAGGGAGAACUCAGUAAAUAUAGUUGUUAUUAUGAAAUGUGCUAUUAAACUC
rnacentral:lncRNA from 1 species